CUUUAACUCCUCAUUUUGAGUGAGUAGGUGACUCACUUUAUAGUCAACAACAUCUACAAAUUUUCUGAGAAUAUCAAGAGAUUGAGUUGUUGAGCUAAAAUGGUCAUUAACAGCAGCUCUUAGCCCUUGAAUUUCAUUCAAAACUUCAUUACCAGAACCAGAAUCAACUUUAGCAGUGAAAGAACUACCCUUUUCAAAUCUGGUCUUUCUCCCAUCAGUGUCUGAAUGGAUUUCUCUAAGCACUAUCAAGUCAGCCCUAGAGCUUUCCUUAGUGACAUUCACCUUUAGCUCUUUAAACACAGCAGUCAACAAGUGUGCAUAGGGCAGUUUACCAAUUCCAUAGGCCUUGCACAUGUUUUUGAAAAUUAAGUAGGCUAAAUUUAACCUAACUUUACUCACAAUGUGCCACAUAAUACACAUGUCCAAGUGACUCAGAUAGCCAUAACUGCCAGAUUUCGGACAGAACACAUAGUUUACCAUACUGUGAAUAAUUUUGAUA
rnacentral:misc_RNA from 1 species